CGCCUCUCGAUGACAAUGAGAGGUCUAGCCUGCCCAGUGAUAAACUUCAACGGCCGCGGUACCCUAACCGUGCAAAGGUAGCAUAAUCACUUGUUCCUUAAAUAGGGACUUGUAUCAACGGCAUUACGAGGGUUGCACUGUCUCCCCCCUCCAAUCAGUGAAACUGAUCUCCCCGUGAAAAAGCGGGGAUAUUAAUAUAAGACGAGAAGACCCCAUGGAGCUUUAAACCCAAUAGCAAUUUAGUAAAACUAUAAACUAUGCUAACGGCUUUAGGUUGGGGUGACCACGGAGUAAAAAUUAACCUCCACAACGAAAAGAUGAAAAUCUUAACCCAAGAACCACUAUUCUAGGAAUUAGAAAACUAACGGACCAUGACCCGAUAUCGAUCAAUGAACCAAGUUACCCUGGGGAUAACAGCGCAAUCUACUUCAAGAGUUCAUAUCGACAAGUAGGCUUACGACCUCGAUGUUGGAUCAGGGUAUCCUAGUGGUGCAGCCGCUACUAAUGGUUCGUUUGUUCAACGAUUAAAACCCU
rnacentral:rRNA from 1 species